rnacentral:rRNA from 1 species
UACGAAGGGGGCUAGCGUUGCUCGGAAUCACUGGGCGUAAAGCGCGUGUAGGCGGCCCACUAAGUCUGAUGUGAAAGCCCGGGGCUCACCCCCGGAAGUGCAUUGGAAACUGGUGGACUCGAGUCCCGGAGAGGAGGGUGGAAUUCCUGGUGUAGCGGUGAAAUGCGUAGAUAUCAGGAGGAACACCGGUGGCGAAGGCGGAUCUCUGGGCCAUUACUGACGCUGAGGAGCGAAAGCGUGGGGAGCGAACAGG